rnacentral:rRNA from 1 species
AGAGUUUGAUCAUGGCUCAGGAUGAACGCUGGCGGCGUGCUUAACACAUGCAAGUCGAGCGAGAAAGUUCUUCGGAGCUUUUCUAGCGGCGGACGGGUGAGUAACACGUGGGCAACCUGCCUCAUAGAGGGGAAUAGCCUUCCGAAAGGAAGAUUAAUACCGCAUAAUAUUGUUGAAAGGCAUCUUUUAACAAUCAAAGGAGCAAUCCGCUAUGAGAUGGGCCCGCGGCGCAUUAGCUAGUUGGUGAGGUAACGGCUCACCAAGGCGACGAUGCGUAGCCGACCUGAGAGGGUGAUCGGCCACAUUGGAACUGAGACACGGUCCAGACUCCUACGGGAGGCAGCAGUGGGGAAUAUUGCACAAUGGGGGAAACCCUGAUGCAGCAACGCCGCGUGAGUGAUGAAGGUCUUCGGAUUGUAAAGCUCUGUCUUUAGGGACGAUAAUGACGGUACCUAAGGAGGAAGCCACGGCUAACUACGUG